rnacentral:tRNA from 2 species
GGCUCUGUAGUUCAACGGAUAGAACAAGAAUUUCCUAAAUUUUAGAUAGGGGUUCGAUUCCCCUCGGAGCUACGA